AAAAAGAGAGGGGAACAUUGCUUCUAUUUGUGAAAUGCUGUUUCUGGGAUCGUCCAUAAGUGCUAUUUGUAUUGAUUGAUGGCUCUGAUCAGUCGUCUCAGGACUCAAGGACUUUAAGAAGUGAUCCAUUGUUCACACCUGGGGAAUCAAUACUGUAUUAUUCAUCCAUUCCAUAAUCUCUGGGCUUCCCUGGUGGCUCAGACCGUAAAGAAUCUGCCUGCAAUGAAGGAGACCUGAAUUCAAUUCCUGGGUCGGGAAGAUCCCCUGAAGAAAGCAAUGGCUACUCACUCCAGUAUUCUUGCCUGGAAAAUCCCAUGGACAGAGGAGCCUGGCAGGCUACAGUCACAAAGAAUUGGACACGACUGAGAGACUAAGCACAUACAACAUAUACAGUGUCCUUGUAUGUCCCUGUAUUCAUAGAAGCUGGACUACAUAGCCCACUUGUGCCAAGAGAUGAUCCUCAGCUUUGGUGGGUGUUGGCAGUGGCCCAAGAGGAGCUAGGCUGCCCUGACAUGCUGCUGGCCCCCCUUCCUCAGGGGACAGCCUUGCCCAUGGUUGACCAUGGCCUUGACCAUUUGUCUAAAGGUUUGAAUUGCAGUUGACUUCACUUUGAAGGGGGCUUCCCUGGUGGCUCAGAGGUUAAAGCGUCUGCCUGCAAUGCGGAAGACCCGGGUUCGAUCCCUGGGUCGGGAAGAUCCCCUGGAGAAGGAGAUGGCAACCCACUCCAGUCUUCUUGCCUGGAGAAUCCCAUGGACAGAGGAGCCUCAGGUACAAAGGAGGGAUCUGCCCUCUUCCAUCCUGUGGAAAAGUGCUGGCAGAAGGGAUUCUGUUGCCUUGUCCACUCACACCAUUAUCCGCUCUCCUUAGGAAGGGAGGGGAAGUCACAGUCUUACAGUGAAGAACUUGAGACUCUCAGCUUUAUUGCACCAGUGAGUGCACUUACUAGGCUCACACUCCCUCUCCCAGCCUCUGGACCAAGGCAGGUGGGUGGUGGGAGAUGCUAACAGAUUUCCAAGCUUGCCAGGAGGAAGGCUUUAUC